GCCCUGCCCCGAAAGGCGGCCCGAGGCGGGCGGAGAUGAGCGGCGGCAGCGGGCGGGCGGCUGCGCGGGCGCCCUCACCGCACCAGGUGGAAGUGUGUCUGCCUUUCCACUGAAUUCUGAGCUGUUAAGACAGCAAGGACCAGAGUCCUCAGACCUACUUCUGAGUACCCAAAUCCCAGAAUAGAGCCUGGCACGGGGGAGCUUAGGCAAGGAAUGAUGAAUGAAGAAACGAAACGCACUGCGCUCAUAUGGAGAUGAAGAGGAAAUGAGAGACACAAAUUCAAAGGUGGGGAAAAAGGAGAUUAACAGUACAAUCAGUACAAGUUCAAUUUUAAAUGAGCGCGAACAUGAUCCUCUCACGGAGGGCCCUGAAGGCCGUAGUAAGAAGCACGGGCGACAGCUCGUGGGCACCGGGGAGCCACGGAAGGGUGGGGAGCAGGGGAAGGCAGACCGCUAACUCCAAAUGAAUGAAAGUCGCGUUUCUCCGCACAUCACACAAUAUCCUACUCCAAGUCAUUUUCGUCCACAGCAGUUUCCCAAAGAAUCCACCCACAAUGCGCCCCCUACCCGGACCUGGCAUCCCUGCGCUGUGCACACCUCCAAAUUCCAGAUCCUCAAUCUCGUGACCUCCGACCUGCAGUGACCUCUCCAACCGCCGCCGCGGCCCCGCCACGCCCCCGCCCGCCCGAACUCCUCGAUCAGCCACGUACGCCACUUACGCAGCCGGGGCGUCCCCGCCGCCGCCGCCAAGCCUGCCGGGUUCAUCCUUUGCCGCCGCCACCUCAGCCGCAGUUCGUAACGUGGCCGCCCGGCUCCCGUAGCCACGCCCCAGCGGUGACACGACAGCCAAUGGGCUUCAAGAUUGCUCAGAUGGCCACGCCCCCUCUCUCUCACGGAGGCGUGGACGAGUGAGGUGGGGUUUACGUAAGAGGCGGGAACUAGGGCUCUCAGGCGUAAGGAGAGGGGCGGGACCUGAGCGUUAGGGAGGCGGGGCCGGGAACAAUCCUAGGAGUAGGCGUUGUUGGGCAUGACGGGAAAUGUAGGUGUCACGUGUUGAGCGAAGAGGGCGAUGGGAAAUGGAGUUCUCUGCCGCUUGGGACUCUUUUGGGUGGCCGAGAGCACCGGGGAGCCAGCGAAGGGUGUGAAGAAGGGGAGAAGAGGUGCACUUGUGUUUCCGAGGGGCUGAUCGAAGUUGUGCGAGCUCUGACGCUUUGGGCACUCUUUAAGUAUUAAAGUGAAUAUUUAGAGUAGGAAGAAGACACCCAACAGGUUAGGUGAGAAGAACCGGUGUCUUUCUUGGAAGACAGCUUUAGGCAGUUUCCCAGAAAUUUAUUAAAAUGUUCUCUCAACUGGAUUUUCUCUGAAA